rnacentral:lncRNA from 1 species
CAGCCUCUCCAAAACAGCAAGAAAAAAUUUAUGGGUUAGUCAUAUAUUCUGUAAUUUCAAAGCCAGAAUAAUUUCCCCUGGAUUUACAACUUGGUUUACUAUGAGCACAGUAUUAUUUUCUAUUCAGAUAAUUUAGAAAUGAACUACUGGCAGAGAAAUGUGCCAAUCUUAUUUAAUCUUGUUAUAAAUUCCAGAUUCCAGAAUUGCUUUUUUGAGAUUCUCUUUUUAUAUAC